AACUGCAGUACGUGAUAAAUUACGGCAAUAACGAUUAUAGAACCUGAAGGAGGGGUGAAUUGGUUAUUUGGAAACGAUAAGUAGAGAGAUAAGGGAGAAAAAAGGAAAGGCAACCCUGUACGCGUUUCGACCUAACAGUCUUCUUCAGCAGGGUUUUUUAAAAGGGGUGUAUAGGUAGAAUUUGCAGAGGAGAAUGAAGGAGAGUUUAGGAGUUCGGUGAAUUUUGCAGAAGAGAAUGAAGGAGAGUUUAGGAGUUCGGAUCAGCAAUGGCACAGUAACAAAAAUGAAAGGUUGAAGGAUAGUGAGAAAUGAUAAAACUACUGCAUAUUAUAAGUCAUGUUAUCCUACCAAAUGUCUUGUUAAGGCUUUUGUUUUGGUGUAAAUAGGUAAUGGGACAAGUACUGGUGUGAGACAUUGUGUAACCUAAAUCAUUAUAGGACCAGUAUUCAAAUUUAUUGUUAUUUACUUCAACUUCAAUAGUAUGAACUGCAGUACGUGAUAAAUUACGGCAAUAACAAUUAUAGAACCUGAAGGAGGGGUGAAUUGGUUAUUUGGAAACGAUAAGUAGAGAGAUAAGGGAGAGAAAAGGAAAGGCAACCCUGUACGCGUUUCGACCUAACAGUCUUCUUCAGCAGGGUUUUUUAAAGGGGGUGUAUAGGUAGAAUUUGCAGAGGAGAAUGAAGGAGUGUUUAGGAGUUCGGUGAAUUUUGCAGAAGAGAAUGAAGGAGAGUUUAGGAGUUCGGAUAAGCAAUGGCACAGUAACAAAAAUGAAAGGUUGAAGGAUAGUGAGAAAUGAUAAAACUACUGCAUAUUAUAAGUCACGUUAUCCUACCAAAUGUCUUGUUAAGGCUUUUGUUUCGGUGUAAAUAGGUAAUGGGACAAGUACUG
rnacentral:lncRNA from 1 species